ACACGCUGGCGGCGUGGAUUAGGCAUGCAAGUCGAACGGUAUCAUCCUUUCGGGGGUGAGAGAGUGGCGAACUGGUGAGUAACACGUAGGUUAUCUACCCUCAAGACGGGACAACCCAGGGAAACUUGGGCUAAUACCGGAUGUGAGCAACUUUUAGUUGUUUGAAAGGUGGCGUAAGCUGUCGCUUGGGGAUGAGCCUGCGUCCUAUUAGUUAGUUGGUGAGGUAACGGCUCACCUAGGCAAUGAUAGGUAGGCGGCCUUAACGGGUGGUCGCCCACACUGGGAUUGAGAUACGGCCCAGACUCCUACGGGAGGCAGCAGUCGAGAAUAGUCUACAAUGGUCGGAAGACUGAUAGUGCGACGCCGCGUGAACGAUGAAUCCCUUCGGGGUGUAAAGUUCUUUUAUAUGUGAGCAGUGCUUCUUAUAUUAACAGUAUGGGGAGAGAGAUAUUAGCAUAUGAAUAAGCAACGGCUAACUCCGUG
rnacentral:rRNA from 1 species